rnacentral:rRNA from 1 species
UUAAUAGAUGUAGUUUGAAGAACUAAUUGUCUAUUGAUAUUAAUUUUUAAUUUAUUAAAGAAAGUAUUUUUUAUUUUAGUAGGUUUACAGAAAAAAUAAUAUUUUUGAUAUAGAAUACUAGUAUUGUGUAAGAAAAUUUUUUUUAGUACGAAAGAAGAAUUAAUAUUUUGUACCUUGGGUAUCAGGGUUUAUUAAAAAUAUAUUAAAAAUUUAAUUUUCUCGAAUUUAGAAGAGUUACUUAAUUAAUAUAUUUUAUUGUGGCAAAAAUAUUUUUAAUAGUUAAGUAGGGGUGAUAUGUUAAUCGAUUCUGAAUAUAUCUAGUUUUUUAAGAAAAAAAUUUAAUUUUUUUCUGUUUUAAUAAUUUUUUUCUUUUAUAGUGAGUUAUUAGGCAGGAAUAAUAGUUUAAGGGUUGAGCUUUAAAUUAAAAUUAUAAAAUAAAUAUAUGAUGAUAAAUAAUAAGAAGGAUUUAUAGUUUCUGCUAAAGUGAUUUAUACCUUAAUUAUUUAAUAUUAAGAUUUUUUAUUAUAAAUUUAUAUUUUAUAUUAAAAUAUGAUCUUUAAUAAUUUUAGUUCAGUAAUAAUGAUAAAAUUAGUAUAAUUUAAAAUUAAAAAUUUUUUUAAUUUAAAGGUUUAUUUAAGGAAUUCGGCAAAAAUUUUUCCCACCUGUUUAUUAAAAACAUGGCCUUUUGAGUUUAAUUUAAGGUCUAGCCUGCCCAAUGAUUUAAUUAAAUGGCCGCGGUAUUUUGACCGUGCAAAGGUAGCAUAAUCACUAGUUUUUUAAUUGAAAGCUUGUAUGAAAGGUUUGAUGAGGAAAAUUCUGUCUCAAGUAAAAUUUAUUAGAAUUUUAUUAUUUUGUGAAAAGGCAAAAAUGUUUAUAAAAGACGAGAAGACCCUAUAGAGUUUUAUAAUUAUAAUGUAAAUAAUAAUUGGUAUCUUUUUUUAGAUAUAUUUUAAUUGUUUGGUUGGGGUGAUUUAAAUAAUUUAAUAAACUUUUUAUAUAUAUAUAUUCACUUAUUUGUGUAUAAUUGAUCCUUAUAAAAGAUUAAAAGAAAAAAUUACCUUAGGGAUAACAGCGUUAUUUUUUUUGAGAGUUCUUAUCGAAAAAAGAGUUUGCGACCUCGAUGUUGGAUUAAAAUUUAAGUUUGGUGUAGCAGCUAAAUUUUUAGGUCUGUUCGACCUUUAAAAUUUUACAUGAUCUGAGUUUAGACCGGCGUGAGCCAGGUUGGUUUCUAUCUUUAUAAUAAAUAAUAUUUUUUAGUACGAAAGGACCAAAAAUAUAUUAAAUUAAUUUUAAUUUUGAAUAUUAUUAUUACUUUGGCAGAAAAGUGUAAUAGAUUUAGAAUCUUUUAAUGUAAUUAAAAAUUACAG